rnacentral:rRNA from 1 species
UGCAAGUUGAGCGAAGCUUUUUGGUAGUUUACUACUAGAAAUGACUGAGCGGCGAACGGGUGAGUAACGCGUGAGCAAUCUACCUUAGUUACUGGGAUAGCCCGAGGAAACUCGGAUUAAUACCGGAUAUUCUUAUUUUUUCACAUGAAGUUUUAAGGAAAGGUCAGCCGAACUAAGAUGAGCUCGCGUUCUAUCAGCUAGUUGGUGGGGUAAAAGCCUACCAAGGCUACGACGGAUAGCUGGUCUGAGAGGACGAUCAGCCACACUGGGACUGAGACACGGCCCAGACUCCUACGGGAGGCUGCAGCAGGGAAUAUUGUGCAAUGAGCGAAAGCUUGACACAGCGACACCGCGUGUGGGAUGACGGUUCUAGGAUUGUAAACCACUUUCAGGAGGGAAGAAAAUGACGGUACCUCCACAAGAAGACCCGGCCAACUAUGUGCCAGCAGCCGCGGUAAUACAUAGGGGUCAAGCGUUGUCCGGAUUUAUUGGGCGUAAAGAGCUCGUAGGCGGUUCAACAAGUCGGUCGUAAAAGUUUAGGGCUCAACCCUAAAAUGUCGAUCGAUACUGUUGUGACUAGGAUACGGUAGAGGUGAAUGGAAUUCCGAGUGUAGCGGUGAAAUGCGUAGAUAUUCGGAGGAACACCAAUUGCGAAGGCAGUUCACUGGACCGUGAUCGACGCUGAGGAGCGAAAGCUAGGGGAGCAAACAGGAUUAGAUACCCUGGUAGUCCUAGCUGUAAACGAUGGAUACUAGAUGUAGG